GGUGCAUGUCUUUGCACUGUGGGAGGAGAGAACCCAAGCAGACACGAGGACAACAUGCAAACGCCAAACGGAAGGGCCUUAGCCAGCCUGUUUGAACCCAGGACCUUCUUGCUGUGAAGUGACAGUGCUAAUCACCACACCACUGUGCACCACAAAAGGAAGAGCUGGAAAUAACCAAGCCUGCAGGAUUACGCAGCAAGGACCGUGCCAUUCCAGCCUUUAAUUUCACAGGUGUGGAUGAAGACGAUGCAGCAAAAAUCCCCGAAAAGUUCUGAGCAGUCACAGAGUCACAGCUUCCCUCCACCCUGCAGCUGCUGAAAGGAAGAGGAGGUCUGGCGUUAGCAGGACCUGAGCUACUGGGAUAUAGAAACUAGUCCUGGCAGCUGACAGGUUUGAACAAAGAAAAGUUCAUUUAGAGCCAACGUUAUUUGUGAAAAUGCAUUAAGUUAUACCAUCAGUGACGCUUUUGCACAUCUCCUAGCAACAUUUGCUGCU